GUAGAGAAGCCACCAGUGUACAAGCCACCAGUAGAGAAACCCCCUGUCUACAAGCCACCAGUUGAGAAGCCUCCAGUUUACAAGCCACCAGUUGAGAAGCCCCCUGUGUACAAACCCCCAGUUUACAAGCCCCCAGUUUACAAGCCACCAGUUGAGAAACCUCCAGUGUACAAACCUCCAGUUGAAAAGCCACCAGUUUAUAAACCUCCUGUCGAGAAGCCUCCCGUUUACGAGCCUCCUCACCACCCGAAGUACCCUCCAACAGGUUUCUAGAACUUGAUAUUAAGUAAAUGCUAAAUAUGUUAAAUAAGAGAUUAUUGGAAUCUUUAUUUUAAUCCCUUGUUUACAUUGCUUUUGUCAAGACAAG
rnacentral:lncRNA from 1 species